rnacentral:lncRNA from 1 species
UAUGGCUUUCCUAGUUGUAUUUAGAUUAAAGAAUUCAAGAAGGAUUUUUAUUUUUAUUUUUGAGUAGAAUAAUCUGUGUGAAUGCCUCAUAAAGAGGCCACCAUCCCCAGUUGAUGUGAGCAUGACUAAGCCACAAGAUAUCCCAAAAAUCCAAUGAAAGUCUCAUCCCAAACAAGCAAGCAAUUUCAGAUUCUUGUUGCUUCCUAAACUGGAUCAUCUCCAAGAUAAAAGUAUCUAUAACCCUAAAAAUUUUUCUAAUUGGGAUUAUUCUAAAAAAUGGGCCAAGUUUAUUCAAGGAAGGCUUAAGGCCCAAGAGAUACUUCA